GAGAGCCAGCUAUAUCGAUGCCUAC
rnacentral:piRNA from 1 species